CACUGAUCAAAUCUCCUGGAUUCCCAGCUAAAAUGAGGCUCUGUUCUUGGGUUUGGGGCCUUCUAAUGCUCUGGAUGACUGGGUCCAGUGGCGAUAUUGUAAUGACUCAGACUCCACUCUCCUUGGCUGUCACCCUGGGAGAGAAGGUCUCCCUCUCCUGCAGGUCUAGCGAUAUUAUAAUGACUCAGACUCCACUCUCCCUGGCUGUCACCCUGGGAGAGAAGGUCUCCCUCUCCUGCAGGUCAAGUCAGAGCCUCUUACAUAGCGAUGGAGAUAGUGCUCUAUUUUGGUACUUGCAGAAGCCUGGCCAGUCUCCCAAACUCCUAAUCUACUGGGCUUCCAACCGAGCUUCUGGGGUCCCAGGCAGAUUCAGUGGCAGUGGGUCAGACACAGAUUUCACACUGCAAAUCAGCAGGGUGGAGGCUGAGGAUAUUGGGGUUUAUUACUGCAUGCAAGCUAUAGAUACUCCUCCCACAGAGAUAUAG